UACGUAGGGGGCAAGCGUUGUCCGGAAUGACUGGGCGUAAAGCGCGCGCAGGCGGUCGAUCACGUCUGGGGUGAAAGUUCAGGGCUCAACCCUGAGAUGGCCUUGGAAACGGGUGGACUUGAGGGUCGGAGAGGUCAGGGGAAUUCCACGUGUAGCGGUGAAAUGCGUAGAGAUGUGGAGGAAUACCAGUGGCGAAGGCGCCUGACUGGACGAAACCUGACGCUGAGGCGCGAAGGCGUGGGGAGCAAACAGG
rnacentral:rRNA from 1 species